AGGACGAACGCUGGCGGCGUGCUUAACACAUGCAAGUCGAACGGAAAGGCCCGCUUGCGGGUACUCGAGUGGCGAACGGGUGAGUAACACGUGGGCAACCUGCCCUCAGCUUCGGGAUAACACUUGGAAACAGGUGCUAAUACCGGAUAAUAACCUUUCAUCGCAUGGUGGUGGGUUCAAAGUUUUUCGGCUGAGGAUGGGCCCGCGGCCUAUCAGCUUGUUGGUGGGGUAAUGGCCUACCAAGGCGACGACGGGUA
rnacentral:rRNA from 1 species